rnacentral:ncRNA from 1 species
CUCGGCACCUUAAUAUGUCGGGGUGCUACAGCAGCAAUGUUGUAGCCUGGUAUCUAAACCUUAGUAUUUGGCUUAUAACGGUGGACUCUAUUUGUUCUAAUAAAUAGACAAUACCGUGGGAAGUUUGACUCAUAAUGGAAAAUAAAUGAGUUAUAACCCCGUAGAGACUUGAUUUGAUGACACAUCAAAUCAGAGUUCUGGUUUUUAUCAGAACUAACACGCCAACUCCUCAAUUUUUUUGAGGAUGAAGAUAUAGUCCACACUAUUAGUGAUAAUAGA